UUUGAUUUAUCAAACUCAGUUAUGAUAGUAAUAAUAAAGUACUUUUUUUUUAACGUUUUAAAACACGAAGUCUCUUAGUCGUCCAGAGCACUCAACGUGGUGGUACAGUUAUAGAAAUGACCUUCAAUGUGGACCAAUUCUACUGAUGAACACGAGAAAGCGGAGGAACUAUAGUUUUCAUUAAAAACGUAACAUGUAAAAUUUAUAUCUGUAACAAAUGGCGUCGUCUAUUCAGUAUUUAUAUACGAAUGCAACUAAUAUUAUUUAUCGACUACUUAGAUACAGCAGCUCUGUUUCUGUCUCAAUAGGGGAAAAAAAAAGGAACAAAUGUUUUGCUGUAAAGCUGUAUUAUCGUCUGGAUAAAAAAAAAACAUUCAACAGAUCAAAUGCUUUACCGGGGUGGUACGCAUUUUAACUGAUCAUAUUACACGUCAAUGUAUUCCAAGGGUUUUAUAGUAUCGGUGCGAGUUCGUUUCCAGUGCAUUACUCGGGACGAAGAACGCACCAACACGUGCCACAAUCCAAAGGCUAUCGGAAUCAAACGAUCAUCGGGGCCAAUGAACUUCCAUAGGUCACACAAUGCAAAUCGCUGCCGCUUUAAGCACCGUGCUGUUGUAUAUAUCUAUAGUCUUACGAUUGUUCCGUAAUGUAAUACCGUGUCGGUCAUGCGUUUCAAAGACGCGAUAGGCCACCGAACUGGCAACAGUUGUAAUUAACAGCACAGGUACUUAAGUUUAAUAACCAUUGCGUUUAACUGUGUUU